rnacentral:rRNA from 1 species
GGACCCGCACAAGCGGUGGAGCAUGUGGUUUAAUUCGAUGCAACGCGAAAAACCUUACCUAUACUUGACAUACUUGGAAUGCUUUGUAAUGAAGCAGUGCCUUCGGGAGCCAGGAUACAGGUGCUGCAUGGCUGUCGUCAGCUCGUGUCGUGAGAUGUUCCGUUAAGUCGGAUAACGAGCGCAACCCUUACCCUUAUUUGCCAGCGAUUCGGUCGGGAACUAUAAGGGGACUGCCGGUGAUAAACCGGAGGAAGGUGAGGACGACGUCAAGUCAUCAUGGCCCUUACGUAUAGGGCUACACACGUGCUACAAUGGGGAAUACAGACGGACGCUAAGCCGCGAGGUGGUGCUAAUCCCAUAAACCGUGGCUCAGUUCAGAUCGUAGGCUGCAACUCGCCUACGUGAAGGCGGAAUCGCUAGUAAUCG